UGGGGAGUGGUGCAAAGGCAGCACACGAGACUUUGGAUCUUGGUAUGGAGGUUCGAGUCCUCCCUCCCCAGCCA
rnacentral:tRNA from 1 species